CAGAAUGUUGCAUCAAGAUACCAGUGAUGUUGCAAAUGUCUACUUGUCAAUGCUUGAUUAUGUAAUCCUUCUGCAAAAUGUUAUUUCAGUCUUGAGUGAGAAGGAAGGAAAGAAAAUCUGGAGCCCCAUCAAAGAGAAGAAAGAAAGAAUCAGAAUGACAAAGCAGGCAAGGACAGAUCCUGAGGGAAGACAGGUACACUCAUUAAUUGUAUUUACAUUUCAAAGACGAGUCACCUGCAGUGUUCUCAAUCAUACCCUACACUUAUAUUCCUUGCCACACACCAUGAAUAAUAAAUGCACUUUUGAAGAUGAGUAAGUGACCAAAUAGGCUUCUUCCAGUUUUAAUUUUGUGGAUGAUCUUAAUCUGGGAGGUCAGUACAAAUGCCUGUGGUAAGUGACAAUUUUAGGCCAGUAAUUGCUAAUUAAGACAGAAAGCAAGAUGCUGGCUAAGGCACUUUCAGAUAGAUCACAGAUAACCUUGCAGGAGCUGAUUAACUCAAACAGAAAACCUCCUUAGAUGAUAGCUACCAAAUGAUACUUGGAACAGUUUUUAAAAUUCAGAAGGAUGAGGGAAAAGGAUUUAUGAAACUCUUGACUACAUUUCUUCUGGAGAAAUAAUUUUGAUAAUAAUUGGGGUUAGCUGUUUUCCAAUUAGCAAACAAUUAGAAGAAAGACAUUUACCCAGCAGGCAAACAUCUUUUAUGAUAGACUCAUACUCAUCAAACCUGUUGAUGCUGAAGGAGGAUAAACAUUGCUGUACUCAGUGUCUCGGUGAAGUGAGCAGCACUGCCUGCUGUUCCUGUGCCACUUUUGUAUGGGCUGGGUGGGGCUCAGUGUGACAGUGCUUAAUGUGGCAAGCACAGAACAGAGGACCCCACACUGUGCCUGUGAUCCUGGGGUAGCUGUGGACAAUUUUCCAGAGCUACACAAAAGAAAUUAGGAACAGCACAGCAACCAUCUGUGGAAAAAACACAAAUCUCCAACGUCGGAAUUUUUUGGGACCUCCAAAUCAGAAAAAGUGAGAAGACGUUGGUGUCUGUAAAGGGGAUCCUCAUUGACAGAUCAGUUAGUGUCAGACAUUGGAAGCUUUUCUGAAAGUAUCCCUUGGACAGGUGAGGCCUGAAAUGACCAUAAAUUCAGAGUGGUGGAUGCUGUAAAGUAAAGCAGAGAUAAGACAAAAAGCAGCAACCUUUCUAUUAAUCAGGGUUGUGUUGUCAGUGCUGCCUGGUGAAAAGGUGGAGGGGAUGCUGAAUCUGAGUGUUUAAGGCUGAACUCGUCUCCAUAUCCCUCCCACAAGCAAUGGAAAGAGAUGAGCAGGUGCUGAACACGAGUUUGCUAGUCCAAACAAGUCUUCAAGGUGUAUUCCAUUGUUCAUCCUCUAAAGGAACUAUUCCUUGCCAUUAACUCCACGGGCAAUAAAGGAGUACAAAACCCCCUCGGCA
rnacentral:lncRNA from 1 species